CCAGACCCCGGCCGCAAUACGACGCGUCGCCGCCCCCACGGUCCAGGGGGCCCACCCCCAGUAGGGAGGCUGCGGCCCCCGCCGCCCCCGCCCAGCCGCCGGCGCAGCCCAGCAGCAGGAUCACGAAGAAAGGCGCAGCUGGCCCCGCCCCGAGCCCUGUUCACGCCGCCGCGGCCGCCCCGGCCGCCUCCGCCCCGGCCCACCUGAAGACUCAGCAGCAGGCGAAGAAGAGGACCGGCACGAGGGUGCAGUACCAGCAGCAGAAGGCAGCGGCCCAGACUCGGCGGCGGCAGCAGCAACAGCGCUCCGCCAAACAGCAGCAGCAGUCGCAGCCGCAGUAUCACUUGCAGCGAUGAAGACGUCGUUGGGAGGCGCGGGAAGUUCGCACGAGAGAGAAAGAGAGAGACUGAAUGAGGGCCCACCUUGGCGCCGGCCCCGCUCAUCGUGGGGGCACCUUCACGCCCUUUUCUCUUUGACAGUCAAAAACUGAAGAUGACCAAAAAGUAUUUUAUUCGAAUGUGGGUGUAAGUGUGAGUCUGCCAGACUGAUCACAACUAUUUCCAGCAGUUGUUGAAUUUUUCAAUAUAACAUAACAGGUUAGCGUUUGGUUAUCCUCAAGUGGAGCGCCUGGCGUGCAGACCGUCCCGUUGGACGCGCAAGCCCCGCGGGGUUGCCUAUGCUCGCUCCGCAGGCGCCUGGCGCGUUGUAAAGCUCGGGAAGCACGGGCAACCCGAGGCCCUACGCAUGCGGCUGCUAGAGAGGAUUUCUCUUAAGAAGAGAAUACACCUAAGCUCUCGAGUGAGAGAGCUCAAGCUGCGCACUUGCUGUCUAAAUCUCCAAAUCAGAAAACACGAAAUUCCUCGGAAACCGUGAGUCGUAGCUCCAAAGUAACGAAAUUUUGGGGUGCCCUAGAAAGUCUCGCGGGGAACCCAAAAUAGGACCCCUCAUCCCUUCACAACAGUCAGAUUUGGAUUGAAACUACAUGAUUUGCCAGGAAACUUACCAUCAAUUGCAUGUGAAAAUGUUGUUUAAGUGAAUUCCAAUGUCUAUCAAGUUCAAAUUUGGCCUUAAUAAAAUAUCAUUUUUGUUUA